AGAGUUUGAUCAUGGCUCAGAAUCAACGCUGGCGGCGUGCCUAACACAUGCAAGUCGCACGAGAAAGGGUAGCAAUACCUGAGUACAGUGGCGCACGGGUGAGUAACACGUGAAUCAUCUACCUUCGAGUGGGGAAUAACUGGGAGAAAUCUCAGCUAAUACCGCAUAAUACCUACGGGUCAAAGCAGCAAUGCGCUUGAAGAGGAGUUCGCGGCAGAUUAGUUAGUUGGCGGGGUAAUGGCCCACCAAGACGAUGAUCUGUAUCCGGCCUGAGAGGGCGCACGGACACACUGGAACUGAAACACGGUCCAGACUCCUACGGGAGGCAGCAGUGGGGAAUUUUGCGCAAUGGGGGAAACCCUGACGCAGCAACGCCGCGUGGAGGAUGAAAUCCCUUGGGAUGUAAACUCCUUUCGAUCGGGACGAUUAUGACGGUACCGGAAGAAGAAGCCCCGGCUAACUUCGUGCCAGCAGCCGCGGUAAUACGAGGGGGGCAAGCGUUGUUCGGAAUUAUUGGGCGUAAAGGGCGCGUAGGCGGUUUGACAAGUCUGAUGUGAAAUCUAUGGGCUCAACCCAUAGCCUGCAUUAGAAACUGUCGGGCUUGAGUAUGGGAGAGGUGAGUGGAAUUUCCGGUGUAGCGGUGAAAUGCGUAGAUAUCGGAAGGAACACCUGUGGCGAAAGCGGCUCACUGGACCAUAACUGACGCUGAGGCGCGAAAGCUAGGGGAGCAAACAGGAUUAGAUACCCUAGUAGUCC
rnacentral:rRNA from 1 species